GUGGGGAAUAUUGCACAAUGGGGGAAACCCUGAUGCAGCGACGCCGCGUGGAGGAAGAAGGCCUUCGGGUUGUAAACUCCUGUCGUAAGGGACGAUAGUGACGGUACCUUACAAGAAAGCCACGGCUAACUACGUGCCAGCAGCCGCGGUAAAACGUAGGUGGCAAGCGUUGUCCGGAAUUACUGGGUGUAAAGGGAGCGCAGGCGGGUCUGCAAGUUGGAAGUGAAACCCAUGGGCUCAACCCAUGAACUGCUUUCAAAACUGUGGAUCUUGAGUGGUGUAGAGGUAGGCGGAAUUCCCGGUGUAGCGGUGGAAUGCGUAGAUAUCGGGAGGAACACCAGUGGCGAAGGCGGCCUACUGGGCACUAACUGACGCUGAGGCUCGAAAGCAUGGGUAGCAAACAGGA
rnacentral:rRNA from 1 species